AGCGAACGCUGGCGGCAGGCCUAACACAUGCAAGUCGAGCGCCGUAGCAAUACGGAGCGGCAGACGGGAGAGUAACACGUGGGAACGUGCCCUUCAGUUCGGAACAACCCAGGGAAACUUGGGCUAAUACCGGAUACGUCCGUAAGGAGAAAGAUUUAUCGCUGAAGGAUCGGCCCGCGUCUGAUUAGCUAGUUGGUGAGGUAACGGCUCACCAAGGCGACGAUCAGUAGCUGGUCUGAGAGGAUGAUCAGCCUCACUGGGACUGAGACACGGCACAGACUCCUACGGGAGGCAGCAGUGGGGAAUAUUGGACAAUGGGCGCAAGCCUGAUCCAGCCAUGCCGCGUGGAUGAUGAAGGCCCUAGGGUUGUAAAGUCCUUUCGGCGGGGAAGAUAAUGACGGUACCCGCAGAAGAAGUCCCGGCUAACUUCGUGCCAGCCGCCGCGGUAACAC
rnacentral:rRNA from 1 species